GGAUCUCAGGCGUAGGCGAUGGACAACGGGUUGAUAUUCCCGUACCGGCGCUGACGCGCCCAUGCUGAACCUGGUUGUGCUAACCAUCUGAUCGGAUGUGUCUUUUCGGAGAUGUGUCUGGAAGGGUGGGAUCCCGGCUGGUAGUAGGCAA
rnacentral:rRNA from 1 species